CAUAUACUCCCUUCGUCCGGAAAUACUUGUCCGAGGAAUAGAUGUACCUAGAUGUAUUUUAGUUUUAGAUACAUCCAUUUGUAUUCAUUUCCAUGACAAGUAUUUCCAGACGGAGGGAGUAUUUG
rfam:Triticum aestivum genome assembly, contig: Triticum_aestivum_CS42_TGACv1_scaffold_130036_2BL